rnacentral:rRNA from 1 species
GAUGAACGCUCGCGGCAGGCCUAACACAUGCAAGUCGAGGGAGAGGUUACCUUCGGGUAACCAAAACCGGCGCACGGGUGCGUAACGCGUAUACAAUCUGCCUUUCACAUAGGGAUAGCCCGAAGAAAUUUGGAUUAAUACCUAAUGGUAUAUAAGAGCGGCAUCGUUUUUAUAUUAAAGCUACGGUGGUGAAAGAUGAGUAUGCGUUCUAUUAGCUAGUUGGAGAGGUAACGGCUCCCCAAGGCGACGAUAGAUAGGGGUUCUGAGAGGGAUGUCCCCCACACUGGUACUGGGAUACGGACCAGACUCCUACGGGAGGCAGCAGUGAGGAAUAGUGGGCAAUGGUCGGAAGACUGAUCCAGCCAUGCCGCGUGCAGGAUGAAGGUCCUAUGGAUUGUAAACUGCUUUUGGAAGGGAAGAAUAAGGAGUACGUGUACUUUGAUGACGGUACCUUACGAAUAAGCAUCGGCUAACUCCGUG